CUUCAUGCCCCUUGAUGACCUCGUAAAAUGAAGAUGUUGGACUUGAUCUUCAAUAUUAAGCACCUGUGUGUACCCUGCUUCUUUCCACUUCGGAGCCAUUGUUUGCCCUACCUGCCUCCCCCAUGGAACCCUCAGGACGCUUGGACCAAAGAAGGGAAUUCUACAUGGGCUCUUCACAGAUCCCCAGGAGCUGCCAUAGCCCUGCCACCUGUGUUCAGGCAAGUGAGUAUCAAACAAGUACAGCCUCCAAUUCUACCAAGAAGCAAUGUUGGUGGUUAAUGCGA
rnacentral:lncRNA from 1 species